AUGUACCUGUUCCACUACUGUAAUAAGAAACGGCUGUGGAUGUACCUGUUCCACUACUGUAAUAAGAAACGGCUGUGGAUGUACCUGUUCCACUACUGUAAUAAGAAACGGAUGUGGAUGUACCUGUUCCACUACUGUAAUAAGAAACGGCUGUGGAUGUACCUGUUCCACUACUGUAAUAAGAAACGGCUGUGGAUGUACCUGUGCCACUACUGUAAUAAGAAACGGCUGUGGAUGUACCUGUUCCACUACUGUAAUAAGAAACGGCUGUGGAUGUACCUGUUACACUACUGUAAUAAGAAACGGCUGUGGAUGUACCUGUUACACUACUGUAAUAAGAAACGGCUGUGGAUGUACCUGUUACACUACUAUAAUAAGAAACGGCUGUGGAUGUACCUGUUCCACUACUGUAAUAAGAAACGGCUGUGGAUGUACCUGUUCCACUACUGUAAUAAGAAACGGCUGUGGAUGUACCUGUUCCACUACUGUAAUAAGAAACGGCUGUGGAUGUACCUGUUCCACUACUGUAAUAAGAAACGGAUGUGGAUGUACCUGUUACACUACUGUAAUAAGAAACGGCUGUGGAUGUACCUGUUCCACUACUGUAAUAAGAAACGGCUGUGGAUGUACCUGUUCCACUACUGUAAUAAGAAACGGCUGUGGAUGUACCUGUUCCACUACUGUAAUAAGAAACGGCUGUGGAUGUACCUGUUCCACUACUGUAAUAAGAAACGGCUGUGGAUGUACCUGUUACACUACUAUAAUAAGAAACGGCUGUGGAUGUACCUGUUCCACUACUGUAAUAAGAAACGGCUGUGGAUGUACCUGUUCCACUACUGUAAUAAGAAACGGCUGUGGAUGUACCUGUUCCACUACUGUAAUAAGAAACGGCUGUGGAUGUACCUGUUACACUACUGUAAUAAGAAACGGCUGUGGAUGUACCUGUUCCACUACUGUAAUAAGAAACGGCUGUGGAAGUACCUGUUCCACUACUGUAAUAAGAAACGGCUGUGGAUGUACCUGUUCCACUACUGUAAUAAGAAACGGCUGUGGAUGUACCUGUUCCACUACUGUAAUAAGAAACGGCUGUGGAUGUACCUGUUCCACUACUGUAAUAAGAAGGUUCAGGGCCCACCUGUCUACACACUCUACCACAUACCUGUCCCAGACCUGACCUAG
rnacentral:lncRNA from 1 species